CUGUGAGACAGGUGCUGCAUGGCUGUCGUCAGCUCGUGUUGUGAAAUGUUGGGUUAAGUCCCGCAACGAGCGCAACCCUUAUCCUUUGUUGCCAGCGGUCCGGCCGGGAACUCAAAGGAGACUGCCAGUGAUAAACUGGAGGAAGGUGGGGAUGACGUCAAGUCAUCAUGCCCUUACGACCAGGGCUACACACGUGCUACAAUGGCAUAUACAAAGAGAAGCGACCUCGCGAGAGCAAGCGGACCUCAUAAAGUAUGUCGUAGUCCGG
rnacentral:rRNA from 1 species